GCAUUUCCAGAGCUUAGCAGAUAAGGAGGAGCUUAGUGAUUGUCGGCAGGAACAAAUAAAUGGGUUGCAGUGACAUCAGAAGAAACCAGUGCAAGAAGAGAAUGAGAUUGGCUUCCAAAUAUUGGUCAAGAGCUUUAAGUAGGAUGAGCCAAGGAUGUCUGAAUUGCCUAUAUUUCCACGACCAGGUGACUUUCCUGGGUCUAGAAUUCUGAGGAGGUGACGAGGUAACAAACCGUAGUCUUCCUGUAAGGAAAGAGUUAAAGGCGUUUGCACCUGGGCUUCUGAGGGGACGAUGUGUUCAUUAGGGGCACCUGCCUGGGCCACCAACCUGCAGGCCGCACUGCACCCCCACACCGCGGAGGGCGGACACUGGGCUUUCCAGCCUUGCUUAGUGUGCUUGACCAAAGGUGACAAUGACUUAGGGGGCUAAGGUCGUGUCCUCCCCCCUUCCAAAUCAAUAAUUUAAUGUGACUUAUCAGAAAGAGAAAAAGCUGUUUACUUUAAAGCUCUGGAUUCCAUAAAGGGAGAGAGACAAGGCCUAAAACCUGCAGAAGCUCAGGGCUCAGGCCCACGGCCGCUCCGUGUAACUCAGGGCGCCUGGGAGGCACCGCCCCACCGGCCAGCAGAGGGCCUGGGCUGCGAGACUCGAGCUGCCUGGAAGUCUUUGGCAGACUCCUGGAAGGUUGCAGCACCCACCUGGAGAAGUGGAGGGGCUACUCACACGCUGCUCUCAGGUGCUGUCACUACACACAGCUGGCGAGGCUCCCUGGUGAUCCGCCACAGCAGAAUGUGCAGGUGAAGUUACCACCUUCCCAGCUGCAGACGUCCCUUAGCAGAGCUGUGGAGUGUGACAAUGGUGUUUGUGUCCAAGCUGUCAAACGCCAUUAUCACACUAAAUAGCUACUGUUAGGCAAUCCUUCCACUCAGUACAUGCCUUGGCACCUGUUCGGUGUGGGCAAGAAGACUCGGCUUACAGCAGUGUCCCAGGCCGGUGUGACUACUGAAUAAGUUCCAGUCCUUCUGUGCUCAGGCCCAGCAUGUCAUCUGAGCUGUGCCUCUUGCACGCUGUUGUUCAAUCUUUAAACUGAUGACGAGUGUUCUUCCUUUCCUGACUCGGUAAGAGGACUGCAGUGUAUCCCAAAGUACCAAAGCACAAGGCGAGGUGUGUGGUAAUCAAUCAACCCAUGCUUGCUGAGUUGAAAGGAGCAGUUCACAAAUGUUAGACACAGAAAACGAAAACUGGGUUAAAGCUAAGUUUUGUAAACCACAGGUUUAUAGGUGCAGUAUCAAGGUAUGUGUGUCUUGCCCUUUUCAUCACUAAACAACUUUCUAAUAAACUCACAGAUGCCUUAACUGACUGUUCAGAAAUUCAAUAACAUGUUUGAUUUCUACUGAUUGUAAUCCAUUACCAGGCUGAUUACUGAAUUUGUAUUCUAGGCUCUUCUUCCUUGUGUUUCAGCCAGUUAUCAUCAGGAAAUUGUAAAUGAGUUAUGUGUGAGUUUCCUUAGCAAAUCUGAGCACGUUAAACCCAAGCAGCUUCUGGGACAAUUGGAGCAGCUGGGUGGUCUCGUCUGAAACACAGUCUUUCUCUGAGAGGCAUUUAAAGUAAGGAUCAGGUUCUAUUCGUGCAGGGCUACAGCUUCUCUGUCAUGACUUGGCUAAGUGAACCAGGGCAUGUUAAAUCAAAUGGAAAGGAUCGGAGCCACCACCAGAAACAAUGUGUUCGAUCACCAGCCAUUCAUUUAUCAGAAAAAUAUGUGUGGAGUGGCUUGAGGGAUAAAUUACACAUGUCUGACAUUUCCAGAAAUGGUGCUUACUGGCUCAUAAUCAGUGUGGGGCCAUUCUGAUUGUUCACUGAUGUGUAUGAGCCAAUCAGCAAAACUGUGUAAAACCAUUCCAAGUCCCUUGCUGGGAAAGCACCCCUUGGGAGCAGUCCACAUGCCUGUGAUACACGGCCAACACCCAAGGUCAGAGGCUUCCAUCCAAAGAAAAGAAGACCCAUCCUGCCGGCCCUGCAUCUCCUCCCACCUCAGCAACGUCAAGCAGAGAACCAGAUCCCCUGAAAUCAUUCAUACACCAGCAUUCCCUUUUUGUGGGGUGUUUGUUUGUUUGUGAAAGCACUAAUAGAACGAGCAUUGGUACAGGGCUCUGCUAUUCAAAUCGCUCCCUCGCACACGAUUUCAUUUGGCCCAUUCAACAUGGGCAAAGAUGGUAUUUACAGUUUGGGCCCCUUCCCCACCCAGGCAGUGAACGGAGGCUGAGAAUGGUUGUGGAGUCGUCUGGUUGUGCUACUGGGGCUCAGCCGGGGUGUCCCGACUCUGAUGCCUUCUCCAUGCCACUUUCCUCGGCCUGGUUAUUCCACACACCCCCGGCUCCCCCGCCUAGGCCACGUCGAAGCCGGGUUCAUCGUGCCGGUGUGGGAUCAGUAUCCUCAGCCCUGCCGUCUGCUUUGCCAAUGUGUUCUGCGGCCAGCCUGCAGAAUGAGAGGAGAUGAGUGAGCCACAUGGGACAGGCUCUCCGUGUGAGUGUUCACAACGCAGAAAAAGCCACGUGCAGGGAAGCACCAGAAUGACGAAGCGGAAGGGACGAGAAGGGAAGGACGUCUCACUGGUGGCUUGGGGUUCGGAAGGGGUGACCAACUAUCCGGCUAUAGAUUGGCCAACUCAGUGAGCCAGCCAGCUGAUGUGACAAUGAUUAACCCAGAGCCUUUGGGUCCCAAACAGCUCCCAGGCUCAGGGACAGUGCCAAGCUGGCCUCACAUAUUCCUCCUCCCCACUUGCCCUGAGGUUUUGCUCAAAUGGAAUUAAACAGGGAGAAAAGGAAGGGCAUUUCUGCAUCUUUUCUGUGGCUCACCUCACACAGCGCCUAAUAUUAUGAUUCCUGCCUGGGUCAGCUCCGCAUGCGAGUUGGGGGCCUGGUUCUUUGUGUAGAACUCUAAGGGCCACACACAGAGGACAAAGCGCCCGCUCCCCACUGUAGAGCCAGGGCUACACACUCCAGCUGCUCCGAUCUCUGAUGACAGCAUCCUUCCCCAGCCCCCCUUUCACGGCUCCCACUGUCUCCCAGGACGACUCUUGCCGGUCCUCUCCCGGAAGGUAUCCCUGACUCCCAGUGCCGCCUGCAGGGCGAAGGGGCCCAGUUGGAAGUGCAGUUAAACUUGCAGUGGAGCUGGGAGGCAGCAGAGAAACGAGCGGCCUCUUCCCCGGGAGACGGCCUCCCUUCACUUUGUGAGUCACAUCUGCGAGGCCCUCCAAGUCCUUUCAUCUGAGGACUCUGCAUACCUCAAACAUGACAGUUGCCACUUAGCGCCAGCCCCAGAGGAGGUCUGUGAAAUAGCAUAGCAGCUGUCAUAUACAGAUGGCUCAUUGCUACAUUUUUCUGGACUGUUAUUAAACCUGUAUUUUGUACUCAGUGUAGUUCCUCAAAUCAGGAGACAGUGGACUGUUAGGACGGAAAACCAGACCCCUUGUCCUGGGGAGGAAAUUGCAGCCCUGAAAGGUUGAGGAGGCGGCCCAGGGUGGUUCAGUGAGUCUGCGGCCCAGCUCGACCCCACAGCCAGGCUUCCGGGCUCUGCCACUUCCUCCCUGUGGCGUCCUGUCGUUGUCACCGGCCGAGAGUAGACGCCAAGAGUAGAGGAGUCAAGCAGUACUUGCUGAAGGAGCGGCUGGAUGCCAUGUAAAGUCCCCUCCCUUUUCAGCCAUCUGAGAACUGUUGCCUUCGGCUUUCAGAGGGAUGCCCCUUCUUUGCCAUUUUAGAAUUCAGC